rnacentral:rRNA from 1 species
CCUACGUGCGGCAGCAGUGAGGAAUAUUGGUCAAUGGACGAGAGCCUGAACCAGCCAAGUAGCGUGAAGGAUGACUGCCCUAUGGGUUGUAAACUUCUUUUAUAUGGGAGUAAAAUGUUCCACGUGUGGGGUUUUGUAUGUACCAUAUGAAUAAGGUUCGGCUAACUCCGUGCCAGCAGCCGCGGUAAUACGGAGGAUCCGAGCGUUAUCCGGAUUUAUUGGGUUUAAAGGGAGCGUAGGUGGAUUGUUAAGUCAGUUGUGAAAGUUUGGGGCUUAACCGUAAAAUUGCAGUUGAAACUGGCAGUCUUGAGUGCAGUAGAGGUGGGCGGAAUUCGAGGUGUAGCGGUGAAAUGCUUAGAUAUCACGAAGAACUCCGAUUGCGAAGGCAGUUCACUGGACUGCAACUGACACUGAGGCUCGAAAGUGUGGGUAUCAAACAGGAUUAGAUACCCGGGUAGUC